CGCGGCCUAUCAGCUUGUUGGUGGGGUAACGGCCUACCAAGGCAACGACGGGUAGCUGGCGUGAGAGCGUGGCCAGCCACACUGGGACUGAGAUACGGCCCAGACUCCUACGGGAGGCAGCAGUGGGGAAUCUUGCACAAUGGGCGAAAGCCUGAUGCAGCGACGCCGCGUGAGGGAUGAAGGCCCUAGGGUUGUAAACCUCUUUCAGCAGGGACGAAGCGAAAGUGACGGUACCUGCAGAAGAAGCCCCGGCUAACUACGUGCCAGCAGCCGCGGUAAUACGUAGGGGGCGAGCGUUGUCCGGAUUUAUUGGGCGUAAAGAGCUCGUAGGCGGUGUGUCGCGUCUGCCGUGGAAACCUACAGCUUAACUGUGGGCGUGCGGUGGAUACGGGCAUCACUUGAGUUCGGCAGGGGAGACUGGAAUUCCUGGUGUAGCGGUGGAAUGCGCAGAUAUCAGGAGGAACACCGGUGGCGAAGGCGGGUCUCUGGGCCGAUACUGACGCUGAGGAGCGAAAGCGUGGGGAGCGAACAGGAUUAGAUACCCUGGUAGUCCACGCUGUAAACGUUGGGCGCUAGGUGUGGGGUGCUGUCCACGCACUCCGUGCCGUAGCUAACGCAUUAAGUACCCCGCCUGGGGAGUACGG
rnacentral:rRNA from 1 species